rnacentral:sRNA from 12 species
GAUCAUUGACAUACUUGAUACGAACAAUGGCAACAAGCAUUACUCGGCAGGUGAAAUGCCUGCACGUGAUUAACCCAUUGUCGUUAGCCUGCGACCUAAUGUGCGCAGGGCGAAGCCGUGGCAGGCACGGAACACCCGAGGCUCGAAAGCCUCCUGACGACAC